rnacentral:lncRNA from 1 species
AUUCCCCACGCCCGCCGUCGCUUCGUUUUUCCCGGUGGGUAAACCCCGGCCGACCGAAUCACCGAUCAAUAGACUCGUGAAUCCUUCUCCUAUUCCUCCACUACCACAGUUGAUCUGCCUAAUCCAGUCGUGUUCAUGUUCUUUGACCAGACUCACAUCGGAGGAGGUUGACGAAGAUACGGCCAAUUCAAUCAUCGCCGAGGACUCAUUGUUGUUAUUGUUUCUAUUUCUGCUGCUAUCCGUAGGGAUUCCUAAAGGCAUCAGAAGAUUCUCAGAGAAUGUCACCGUCGAUGUCGGAGAUUCAAGCUGUUGGUCUCCGUUUCCUGUCACAAUUUUCCAUUGAUACGUUACCAAAACCAAUCAAAGUUGAGAGUUUUUUUUAAGACGAUGUGUCCCUUACCUUGGUUUGGUUUAGUCCAGUUUGUUGAUGUUUUUUGAGUGAAGCAAUGUUGUUGAGGAGCUGCUGAUUUGUUAAGGUUGUUAUUGUUUUGGUAAUGCUGUAAAUGGAGAAGCUUUGAUUCUCUAGCUAGCCUUGCUUCAGCUUCGAGUCUUGCACUCUCCCAUUGAGCCAUAUGACUAAGCGUGGCUGCGUUCUUUGAUUGUCCUGUGGAAGACGAAAGAGUCUCGUUUUUGUGCUUGUGAGUCACUGGAUCUAUCCCCAUUUUGAUCAGACGUUUCUUCAAGUGUGUGUUCCAGUAGUUCUUGAUCUCGUUGUCUGUCCUCUUUGGUAAAUGAGUUGCAAUCGCUGACCACCUAUGACAUUUAAAGGACGACGAUCAAUUUGCUUUCAAAGCAAUCACUUGGUUAUUUGGUUUGAAAGCAGAGAUUGUGAUUGAGUCACCUGUUUCCGAGGAGAGCGUGGAGUUGAAUGAUGGUUUGUUCUUCUUGUACAGUGAAUUUGCCUCUCUUGAUGUCAGGUCUUAGGUAGUUAGUCCAUCUGAGUCUGCAACUCUUUCCACACCUUUGGAGACCUAUAAGGAGUUUGAAGCAAAGCUUUGAAUAGAGCUAGAAGAAAAUGUGUGGUUUUGUUGAAGAGAAAAGAGCGAGCAAGUUACCGGCUUUCUCAGGCAAAGAACGCCAGCUUCCAUGGCCAUGUUCUUCAAUAUAAGCCAAAAGUUUCUGAUCCUCUUCUGGAGUCCAAGGCCCUUUCUUCAACCCGGCCUUAUCACAACAUGGCGAUCUGCCCAUUGUUUUCCCACACAAGUUAUUAGUCUAAUCUACUGAAGAAAAAGCUAGCUUCAAUCUGAUCCACGGUUUAAUAACCUAGUGUAUGAGAUAGUUGUCAUUACAUGAUCAUGAUCAGUAUGAUCACAAAAGCUGCUCUCUUGGCGUCACUCUGAUAUAUAGAUGGAGAAACACAACAGAAGAUGUCUCUGUUUAGGUUCUGUAAGCGCCCCUUUUCCCGGUCUCUGACAUGGAUUGGCAUUCAAUUGGAUGGGGUCGAGAGAUAUUAUUACCUUUGUGGCUCCAACACCUUGAUUUCCUUUUAAAGACUCAACAGAGCACCCAAUUACUGUAGCCAUCUUUACCUUGAAAUUGUACCUCUCAACACAAAAGUAAAACAGUGAAUUUCAGAACC